rnacentral:rRNA from 1 species
UACGUAGGGCGCAAGCGUUGUCCGGAAUUAUUGGGCGUAAAGGGCGCGUAGGCGGCCUUCUAAGUCGAACGUGAAAUCCCCGGGCUCAACCCGGGAACUGCGUCCGAUACUGGAAGGCUUGAAUCCGGGAGAGGGAUGCGGAAUUCCAGGUGUAGCGGUGAAAUGCGUAGAUAUCUGGAGGAACACCGGUGGCGAAGGCGGCAUCCUGGACCGGCAUUGACGCUGAGGCGCGAAAGCCAGGGGAGCAAACGGG